CUCUUUUUCCAGUCGCCCGCGCACCAAAAAAAAUUUUGGCAGCGGGACUCACAAUCCUUGACAGCCAGCUCACCAUAUAAUACUCGGCGACCCUCCGCGGGACCUCCUCAGAGGGUCGCGUCGCCGGGAAACUAACCCCCACUCCUCACUGAUCCAAGGUAACACGCCAGAAGUAUCCAGGUAACCCCAGUAGUAUCCAGGUAUCCCCCCUGCGAACGUCGGUACUGGGCUCAAAGAAGGCAGCGAGCAGUCGGGACCCGUAGGCACCGAGCAACCGUCACCCCCUCACGACUUUUCCCGAGACGCUUCAGAGGAACCCUUCCCCCACAUAGUACUCUCUGUGGGAUUCGGCAGGCCCCCCCGUCCUACUGCACUAAGGAAGUUCCGAGACACACUUUUUUUUGUGGAAGACCACCCACCCUCCCUGUCCUGCCUGCUAUCCCCGCCGCGACUCCUGGUCCCGGCCCUCCUCCCCGACUUCCUCCUUGUCCCGCUGCGAGUCCCGGACCUCCUCCCCCACUACCUACUCCCGCCGCGAGUCCCAGUCCCGGCCUUCCUCCUCCUCCUCCUCUUCCCUAGUCCCGGCGCGAGUCCCGGACCUCCUCCCCCACUUCCUAGUCCCGUCGCGAGUCCCGGACCUCCUCCCCCUCUUCCUAGUCCCGGCGCGAGUCCCGGACCUCCUCCUUCUCUUCCUUGUCCCGCCGCGAGUCCCAGUCCCGUCGCGAGUCCCGGACUUCCUCCUUCUCUUCCUUGUCCCGCCGCGACUCCCUAGUCCCGUGGCGAGUCCCGGACUUCCUCCUCCUCUUCCUUGUCCCGCCGCGACUCCCUAGUCCCGGCGCGAGUCCCGGACUUCCUCCUCCUCUUCCUUGUCCCGCCGCGACUCCCUAGUCCCGGCGCGAGUCCCAGUCCCCUCCUCCUCUUCCUUGUCCCGCCGCGACUCCCUAGUCCCGGCGCGAGUCCCAGUCCCGUCGCGAGUCCCGGACUUCCUCCUCCUCUUCCUUGUCCCGCCGCGACUCCCUAGUCCCGGCGCGAGUCCCAGUCCCGUCGCGAGUCCCGGACUUCCUCCUCCUCUUCCUUGUCCCGCCGCGACUCCCUAGUCCCGGCGCGAGUCCCAGUCCCGUCGCGAGUCCCGGACUUCCUCCUCCUCUUCCUUGUCCCGCCGCGACUCCCUAGUCCCGGCGCGAGUCCCAGUCCCGUCGCGAGUCCCGGACUUCCUCCUCCUCUUCCUUGUCCCGCCGCGACUCCCUAGUCCCGGCGCGAGUCCCAGUCCCGUCGCGAGUCCCGGACUUCCUCCUCCUCUUCCUUGUCCCGCCGCGACUCCCUAGUCCCGGCGCGAGUCCCAGUCCCGUCGCGAGUCCCGGACUUCCUCCUCCUCUUCCUUGUCCCGCCGCGACUCCCUAGUCCCGGCGCGAGUCCCAGUCCCGUCGCGAGUCCCGGACUUCCUCCUCCUCUUCCUUGUCCCGCCGCGACUCCCUAGUCCCGGCGCGAGUCCCAGUCCCGUCGCGAGUCCCGGACUUCCUCCUCCUCUUCCUUGUCCCGCCGCGACUCCCUAGUCCCGGCGCGAGUCCCAGUCCCGUCGCGAGUCCCGGACUUCCUCCUCCUCUUCCUUGUCCCGCCGCGACUCCCUAGUCCCGGCGCGAGUCCCAGUCCCGUCGCGAGUCCCGGACUUCCUCCUCCUCUUCCUUGUCCCGCCGCGAGUCCCGACCUCUUGUCCCGCUCCCUUGCCCAAGUCCCGACUCCUGGCUGUCUCGACUCCUCGUUGGCCGCCCAGUCUUCCGCAUAGGUGGAAAUAAAUAAAUAAAUCAUUUUUUAAAAAAUCAAUUUUAAAAUUAACUCCCUGUCUCGACUCCUUGCUGGCCGCCCAGUCUUGCGCCUAGACAGAAAUAUAAAUAAAAAAUAAAAAUAAAUUGGUGAAUUAAAAAUAUUAAAGUAAUUUAAUUAACUGGAAUAAGGUAGAAAAAUAAAAGGCAGAAGAAUACUAAAUUGAUUUUUUCAAGUGCCACGUGUUACCUUGCUGAUGUGGCUGCCACGUGGUAGUCCAUGUCAUGUCAAAAAUCCACUAAAUCGUUUACAUGUCACUUUGGAGAUAAAUUUGUGUGUGUGCAAUCAAUUGGUUGUACAAAUAUGUUAAUGACUUGCUAACUAAUGCAUCGUACAGGUAAUCAUUGCCCACUAACUAAUCCAUCACCACUGAAACUUAAUGUCUUCAAUUCUUCAUCCUUCACACUCCACAUCCAAUUUAUUUUUGUUUGUGUGAAUUCUUAAAUCUAUCUUCUCUUUACAUACUCCAAGCCCAACUUUCUAAACCCUUUAUAUAAUCUAUGUGAAUCCUAGAAUCUAGGUUUAUAUACCCCAUGCAAACCCUAAAACCCUAAACCCUAAACCCUAACCCCUAACCCCUCAACUCAUACUUUGUUCUUUUAAUCAUACAACCUAGACUCUGAAAUUUUAAUCUCAUAACAUAUAAACUAGCAUUGUAAUUUCAAAACCCAACAUUUUG
rnacentral:lncRNA from 1 species